ACUAUGAAAUUAAUUAGAAAAUAUAGCGGUAUGUUCUUAUUUUUACCAGCUUCUGCAAGCGCGUAUGGCGUCUGGCUUUUGGAACCUCACUGUGACUUCAGGUAAGAUUUAAUUAACGUUAUUUGUCUGUGCCAGUCGUGUUUUUGACACAUGCAUUGGCAGAAAAAAAUAAAUAAAAUAAAAUUAGUCAUUAUAACAUGUACAACAUUAACAUUCUUUUAUUUGCAAAAUGAAGUUGUGUAUUUAUUUAUUUCUGAUUUCCUGAACAAUUUGGCUUCAUUGUAAUGAGGUUAAUGAUCUUUGAAAAACCAUGAUUAUGAACAUACAAUUACUUUGUCUUGAGCUGAUUAGCCAACUGUGGUAGUGUUCGUUGAUUGGUGUUUAUAUUUGUUCAAGCUUGACAACCUUAUCGCCUUUAUUUUCUAAUAUAUAUUUCUCAUUACAGAUAAGAACAAAGAUUCAAUUGUAAGAAGGGUUGCUUAUAUGAGAGCAUACAGUACAUCUGAAACUGCUGAGGCUGGGAAGGUUUUUGACUAUAUUACCGACCAGAUCAGCUGCUAUAGAAGACAAACUGAAAUCUGUGUGCAGAGACAAGCAAAGGAAUAUUUUUUUCUAAAGCUGCAAGACUCUGGUGCAAAAUAUUGUAUGUCA